rnacentral:rRNA from 1 species
AUUGAACGCUGGCGGCAGGCUUAACACAUGCAAGUCGAGCGGAGAUGAGGUGCUCGCACCUUAUCUUAGCGGCGGACGGGUGAGUAAUGCUUAGGAAUCUGCCUAUUAGUGGGGGACAACAUUCCGAAAGGAAUGCUAAUACCGCAUACGUCCUACGGGAGAAAGCAGGGGAUCUUCGGACCUUGCGCUAAUAGAUGAGCCUAAGUCGGAUUAGCUAGUUGGUAGGGUAAAGGCCUACCAAGGCGACGAUCUGUAGCGGGUCUGAGAGGAUGAACGGCCACACUGGGACUGAGGACCGGCCCAGACUCCUACGGGAGGCAGCAGUGGGGAAUAUUGGACAAUGGGGGGAACCCUGAUCCAGCCAUGCCGCGUGUGUGAAGAAGGCCUUAUGGUUGUAAAGCACUUUAAGCGAGGAGGAGGCUACUGAGACUAAUACUCUUGGAUAGUGGACGUUACUCGCAGAAUAAGCACCGGCUAACUCUGUGCCAGCCGCCGCAGUAACAC